CUUGUACACACCGCCCGUCACACCAUGGGAGCGGGUUCUGCCAGAAGUAGUUAGCCUACCCGCAAGGAGGGCGAUUACCACGGCAGGGUUCGUGACUGGGGUG
rnacentral:rRNA from 1 species